CUCAGCUAGCUUUUGAUACUUUUUUAAUUUAUUAGUAAUAAUUAGUGUAACUGAUGUAUCACUUUUGAGUUGUUCCCUUUUGUUGUCAUAUUGACAAAAUUCCACUUUGUAUGUGUUUGCAUAACAUUGUUUUAGAUGACUUCAUGGUAUAUAUUGAGUGAUUUUCUCAAGAGUAGACAUAUUUUAGAUUUGGAUAUGCAGCAAUUGAUGCACCAGGAGGGUUCCACUUUGAAUGGGGGUAUGUUUGUGGGACAUAUUCAUUGCAAGGACAAAUGAGAAGCACUCAGAGUCUGCUGCAGCUUACAUUGAGGAUAUACAAACAUGACACAUGGUCUAGGGUAAAAGAAAAUAGAGGGAAGAAAGUGAA